CCGCCAAAAAAAAUUCGAUUCAGGCCUAACACAUGCAAGACAAACGAUUCUCUUCGGAGAAGAGCGGCGGACGGGUGAGUAACGCGUGGGUAACCUGCCCUGUACACACGGAUAACAUACCGAAAGGUAUGCUAAUACGAGAUAAUAUGCUUUUAUCGCAUGGUAGAAGUAUCAAAGCUCCGGCGGUACAGGAUGGACCCGCGUCUGAUUAGCUAGUUGGUGAGGUAACGGCUCACCAA
rnacentral:rRNA from 1 species